AUCACCUGGGAAUUCUGUUAAAAUGCAGAUUCUGAGUCAGUAGAUCCGGAGUGGGGCCUGGGAUUCUGCAUUUCCAACCAACUCCCAGGUGAUGCUGA
rfam:Nomascus leucogenys chromosome 18, whole genome shotgun sequence.